rnacentral:rRNA from 1 species
GAUGAACGCUGGCGGCGUGCCUAAUACAUGCAAGUCGAGCGAGUGGAUUAAGAGCUUGCUCUUAUGAAGUUAGCGGCGGACGGGUGAGUAACACGUGGGUAACCUGCCCAUAAGACUAGGAUAACUCCGGGAAACCGGGGCUAAUACCGGAUAACAUUUUGAACCGCAUGGUUCGAAAUUGAAAGGCGGCUUCGGCUGUCACUUAUGGAUGGACCCGCGUCGCAUUAGCUAGUUGGUGAGGUAACGGCUCACCAAGGCAACGAUGCGUAGCCGACCUGAGAGGGUGAUCGGCCACACUGGGACUGAGACACGGCCCAGACUCCUACGGGAGGCAGCAGUGGGGAAUCUUCCGCAAUGGACGAAAGUCUGACGGAGCAACGCCGCGUGAGUGAUGAAGGCUUUCGGGUCGUAAAACUCUGUUGUUAGGGAAGAACAAGUGCUAGUUGAAUAAGCUGGCACCUUGACGGUACCUAACCAGAAAGCCACGGCUAACUACGUGCCAGCAGCCGCAGUAA